AACGCUAGCUACAGGCUUAACACAUGCAAGUCGAGGGGAAACGACAUCGAAAGCUUGCUUUUGAUGGGCGUCGACCGGCGCACGGGUGAGUAACGCGUAUCCAACCUGCCCAUCACUUGGGGAUAACCUUGCGAAAGUAAGACUAAUACCCAAUGACGUCUCUAGAAGGCAUCUGAAGGAGAUUAAAGAUUUAUCGGUAAUGGAUGGGGAUGCGUCUGAUUAGCUUGUUGGCGGGGUAACGGCCCACCAAGGCAACGAUCAGUAGGGGUUCUGAGAGGAAGGUCCCCCACAUUGGAACUGAGACACGGUCCAAACUCCUACGGGAGGCAGCAGUGAGGAAUAUUGGUCAAUGGGCGCAAGCCUGAACCAGCCAAGUAGCGUGCAGGAUGACGGCCCUAUGGGUUGUAAACUGCUUUUAUACAGGAAUAAAGUUAGCCACGUGUGGUUAUUUGUAGGUACUGUAUGAAUAAGGACCGGCUAAUUCCGUGCCAGCAGCCGCGGUAAUACGGAAGGUCCAGGCGUUAUCCGGAUUUAUUGGGUUUAAAGGGAGCGUAGGCCGUCUGUUAAGCGUGUUGUGAAAUGUAGAUGCUCAACAUCUGAAUUGCAGCGCGAACUGGCAGACUUGAGUGUGCGCAACGUAGGCGGAAUUCGUGGUGUAGCGGUGAAAUGCUUAGAUAUCACGAAGAACUCCGAUUG
rnacentral:rRNA from 1 species